rnacentral:rRNA from 1 species
AGUUGUGUUGGAGCCAUCCUUGAAAUACCACCCUGUCGUGCUUGACGUUCUAACCUAGUUCCGUUAUCCGGAUCAGGGACAGUGUAUGGUGGGUAGUUUGACUGGGGCGGUCUCCUCCCAAAGAGUAACGGAGGAGCACGAAGGUACGCUCAGCGCGGUCGGACAUCGCGCACUGUGUGCAAAGGCAUAAGCGUGCUUGACUGCGAGAUCGACGGAUCAAGCAGGUACGAAAGUAGGUCUUAGUGAUCCGGUGGUUCUGUAUGGAAGGGCCAUCGCUCAACGGAUAAAAGGUACUCCGGGGAUAACAGGCUGAUACCGCCCAAGAGUUCAUAUCGACGGCGGUGUUUGGCACCUCGAUGUCGGCUCAUCACAUCCUGGGGCUGUAGUCGGUCCCAAGGGUAUGGCUGUUCGCCAUUUAAAGUGGUACGCGAGCUGGGUUCAGAACGUCGUGAGACAGUUCGGUCCCUAUCUGCCAUGGGCGUUGGAGAUUUGAGAGGGGCUGCUCCUAGUACGAGAGGACCGGAGUGGACGAACCUCUGGUGUUCCGGUUGUCACGCCAGUGGCAUUGCCGGGUAGCUAUGUUCGGAAGCGAUAACCGCUGAAAGCAUCUAAGCGGGAAGCGCGCCUCAAGAUGAGAUCUCCCGGGAUGUAAAUCCCCUAAAGGAACCAUGUAGACUACGUGGUGGAUAGGUCAGGUGUGUAAGUGCAGCAAUGCAUUGAGCUAACUGAUACUAAUGAUCCGUGUGGCUUGACCAUAUAACCUUA